GUAGCCGGCCGGGGGCGGGCCCCGCUGGUUGCUCGGUUACAGCGCGUCUCUGCGCUCCGGAGAAAACUCUCCGGCGUUUGCAGCCCACUUCCCGCGCACUUGGCUGUGCCAUUGAGGCGUUAAAGAGUGUGGGCGCCUGUGGUCGAACCCGCUACGGACUAGCUUUGUGGUGUCAGCCUUUGUGACCCGGAAUUGCUGCUGUCAAAUGAGGAUCUUCCCAGUAGUGUUUUGCGAGGACUAGGUGUAAAUAUAAUGCCUGACCAUAGUAAAAGCCCUCAGAAAGUAUUAACUAUCACCGCCAUCCGGGUUGAAAAAGUAUUAAAGGUGGAAGAAGGCCCAUAUCUUUUUCUGUGGGUGCUUCAAGUGUUGUUGGAAGUGGAGGCAGCAGUGACAAGGGGAAGCUUUCCCUGCAGGAUGUAGCUGAGCUGAUUCGGGCCAGAGCCUGCCAGAGGGUGGUGGUCAUGGUGGGGGCCGGCAUCAGCACACCCAGUGGCAUUCCAGACUUCAGAUCUCCGGGGAGUGGCCUGUACAGCAGCCUCCGGCAGUACGAUCUCCCGUACCCCGAGGCCAUUUUUGAACUCCCGUUCUUCUUUCACAACCCCAAGCCCUUUUUCACUUUGGCCAAGGAGCUGUACCCUGGAAACUACAAGCCCAACGUCACUCACUACUUUCUCCGGCUGCUUCAUGACAAGGGGCUGCUUCUGCGGCUCUACACGCAGAACAUCGAUGGGCUUGAGAGAGUGUCGGGCAUCCCUGCCUCAAAGCUGGUUGAAGCUCAUGGAACCUUUGCCUCUGCCACCUGCACAGUCUGCCAAAGACCCUUCCCAGGGGAGGACAUUCGGGUAAAAUGUACAUUUACUGGGCACUUACUGAAGUCUCACAAGUACGUAACCACUCACCUCACAGCCACCCUCCCUCUUUGAAGGACCACGUGUAAUUACUAAACAUCCUGAGAACCUCUUGGGACAGAAACAAGCACAGAUGUGCCGUGACUCAUGUUUUUCCUGUGGGCACCCUCAGGCUGGCUCAGUAGCCCUCACUUGCUUGAGAUCCUGAAUCUGCGGGUUGGCGUCUUUGAUGGUUGCUGGAUCAUGCUCUGCCGUUAUCUCUUCGGAUAUGAGUUGCCCCUAGCCCACUGUCUGGCCCCUCUCUCUAGGGACCUCAGAUUGAACAUACAUUAGACCUUCUCUCUCCUGCUGCUCCUGAUCACUCUUCUGUCCUGUAAUUGCUGCUGCUUGUGCUGCGUUCUGG
rnacentral:sRNA from 1 species